rnacentral:rRNA from 1 species
GACGAACGCUGGCGGCGUGCCUAAUACAUGCAAGUCGAGCGGACGAAUCGAAAGCUUGCUUUUGAUUCGUUAGCGGCGGACGGGUGAGUAACACGUGGGCAACCUGCCCUGUAGACGGGGAUAACACCGAGAAAUCGGUGCUAAUACCGGAUAACACGAAAUGUCGCAUGACGUUUCGUUGAAAGACGGCGCAAGCUGUCGCUACAGGAUGGGCCCGCGGCGCAUUAGCUAGUUGGUGAGGUAACGGCUCACCAAGGCGACGAUGCGUAGCCGACCUGAGAGGGUGAUCGGCCACACUGGGACUGAGACACGGCCCAGACUCCUACGGGAGGCAGCAGUAGGGAAUCUUCCGCAAUGGACGAAAGUCUGACGGAGCAACGCCGCGUGAGCGAAGAGGGCCUUCGGGUCGUAAAGCUCUGUUGUUAGGGAAGAACAAGUAACGCAGUAACUGGCGUUACCGUGACGGUACCUACGAGAAAGCCACGGCUAACUACGUG